GGGGUUGUGGCUCAAUGGUAGAGCGCUUGCCUAGCAUGUGUGAGGCACUGGGUUUAAUUCUCAGCACCA
rnacentral:tRNA from 1 species